rnacentral:sRNA from 1 species
GAAAAUUGGUGGAUUUCAAGUAAUCAAGCAAUCAAAGGUGGUGAGCCCUCUAACAAGGGCAAAGACGUUGUGUCAGAGGACUGAGAAUAGGAGGAUUUCAAACUCCUGUUACAGCUCAAGAUAGUGGGUAGAUAGCUCAUUUCGUUGAGGG